UACGUAGGGGGCUAGCGUUAUCCGGAAUUACUGGGCGUAAAGGGUGCGUAGGUGGUUUCUUAAGUCAGAGGUGAAAGGCUACGGCUCAACCGUAGUAAGCCUUUGAAACUGGGGAACUUGAGUGCAGGAGAGGAGAGUGGAAUUCCUAGUGUAGCGGUGAAAUGCGUAGAUAUUAGGAGGAACACCAGUUGCGAAGGCGGCUCUCUGGACUGUAACUGACACUGAGGUACGAAAGCGUGGGGAGCAAAUAGG
rnacentral:rRNA from 1 species